AACUCACUGAUAUUAAAGUAAGUGAUUGUUUUUAGAAUGACUAUCAUGGUUCUCAUAAUCGCUUGGUCGCUGGUUCAAGUCCAGCAGGGGACACCA
rnacentral:tRNA from 1 species